GACGAACGCUGGCGGCGUGCUUUACACAUGCAAGUCGAACGGUGAAGGUGGAGCUUGCUCCGCCGGAUCAGUGGCGAACGGGUGAGUAACACGUGGGCAACCUGCCCCUAACUUUGGGAUAACUACUCGAAAGAGUAGCUAAUACCGGAUAUGAAGUCUGUAGGCAUCUAUGGAUUUGGAAAGUUUUUCGGUUAGGGAUGGGCCCGCGGCCUAUCAGCUUGUUGGUGAGGUAGUGGCUCACCAAGGCGACGACGGGUAGCCGGCCUGAGAGGGCGACCGGCCACACUGGGACUGAGACACGGCCCAGACUCCUACGGGGAGCAGCAGUGGGGAAUAUUGCGCAAUGGGCGAAAGCCUGACGCAGCAACGCCGCGUGCGGGAUGAAGGCCUUCGGGUUGUAAACCGCUUUCAGCAGGGAAGAAGCGAAAGUGACGGUACCUGCAGAAGAAGCACCGGCUAACUACGUGCCAGCCGCCGCCGUAA
rnacentral:rRNA from 1 species